rnacentral:rRNA from 1 species
UAGGGAAUAUUGCAAAAUGGGCGGAAGCCCGAUGCAGCAACGCCGCGUGGGCGAUGAAGGCCUUCGGGUCGUAAAGCCCUUUUUGAGGGGAUGAGGAAGGACAGUACCCUCAGAAUAAGCCUCGGCUGACUACGUGCCAGCAGCCGCGGUAAAACGUAGGAGGCGAGCGUUAUCCGGAUUUACUGGGCGUAAAGCGCGUGCAGGCGGAUUGGAGAGUUGGAUGUGAAAGCUCCCGGCUUAACUGGGAGAGGUCGUUCAAUACUUCCAGUCUUGAGUGCAGUAGAGGGAAGUGGAAUUCCGGGUGUAGUGGUGAAAUGCGUAGAUAUCCGGAGGAACACCAGUGGCGAAAGCGGCUUCCUGGACUGUAACUGACGCUCAGACGCGAAAGCUAGGGUAGCAAACG